ensembl:snoRNA SNORA70 Small nucleolar RNA SNORA70
CUGCAUUCCUUGUGCCUCAAACAUUUAGAAGAAAUUAAUACCUCUGUGCAAAGGCUGCAAACAGCAGCCUCCUUGGUAGUGUAUGCAGCCUGUUGCUUGUAUUGGUUGCUUAAGGGAUCUUGGAGACAGUC